rnacentral:rRNA from 1 species
AAUGAACGCUGGCGGCGCGCCUAAUACAUGCAAGUCGAGCGAGAAGACGUAGCAAUACGUUUGUAAAGCGGCGAACGGGUGAGGAAUACAUGGGUAACCUACCCUUGAGUGGGGAAUAACUAGCCGAAAGGUUAGCUAAUACCGCGUACGCUUCUUGGACUUCGGUUCAGGGAGGAAAGCGCUACCGUGGGUAGCGCGCUCUUGGAUGGGCUCAUGUCCUAUCAGCUUGUUGGUGAGGUAACGGCUCACCAAGGCUUCGACGGGUAGCUGGUCUGAGAGGACGAUCAGCCACACUGGCACUGCGACACGGGCCAGACUCCUACGGGAGGCAG